UGGGGAAUCUUGGACAAUGGGGGCAACCCUGAUCCAGCCAUGCCGCGUGAGUGAUGAAGGCCUUAGGGUCGUAAAGCUCUUUCGCCUGUGAAGAUAAUGACGGUAGCAGGUAAAGAAACCCCGGCUAACUCCGUGCCAGCAGCCGCGGUAAUACGGAGGGGGUUAGCGUUGUUCGGAAUUACUGGGCGUAAAGCGCACGUAGGCGGACCAGAAAGUUGGGGGUGAAAUCCCGGGGGUCUCAACCCCGGAACUGCCUCCAAAACUAUUGGUCUAGAGUUCGAGAGAGGUGAGUGGAAUUCCAAGUGUAGAGGUGAAAUUCGUAGAUAUUUGGAGGAACACCAGUGGCGAAGGCGGCUCACUGGCUCGAUACUGACGCUGAGGUGCGAAAGUGUGGGGAGCAAACAGGAUUAGAUACCCUGGUAGUCCACACCGUAAAACGAUGAAUGCCAGUCGUCGGGUAGCAUGCUAUUCGGUGACACACCUAACGGAUUAAGCAUUCCGGCCU
rnacentral:rRNA from 1 species